AUUUCGACCUGAACUCAGUCGUGAGUACCCGCUGAACUUAAGCAUAUCAGUAAGCGGAGGAAAAGAAACUAACGAGGAUUCCCUUAGUAACGGCGAGUGAAA
rnacentral:rRNA from 1 species